UAAUAAAAAGUACCUUUUUUUUUCUUUUUUUUUUCCUUCUUUCCCUCUUCUUCUUCUUUCUUUUCUUUUUCUCUUCUCCAUUCCUUUUCUUUCCUUCUUUUUUCUUCUUCUCCUUUCCUUUUCUUUCCUUCUUUUUCUUUCUUUCCUCUCCUUUCCUUUUCUUUCUUUCUUCUUCUUUCCCUCUCAUUCUCUUCCACCCCCACCGAUGGGCCCUAUUAUAAGGACAAUGCCGCCAACCUCAUUGGCACCAUCGGUGCCGCCAAUCAGUAUGGCACCUUUGGUGCCGCCAAUCAGAACCCCUCCACCAGGGUUCUGUCAAAUCGGCACAACUUUUUUUUUCUGUUUUUUGGUAUAUUUUAGUAAAUAAAAAAAAUAUAAUAUUUUAGAAAUUUUUAAUUUUUUUAUAAUAAUUUAGUAAAAAAAACUCCGAAAACAAUACGUAUAUCCCAUUUGUCUCUCUUUCUCUCUCUCUCUCUCUUUUCAAAAUUUUUAUCAUUCUUUUCCAGUUUUGGUUUAACUAGAGGCAAAAAAAAAAAAAAAAAAACACAUACACACGCUACAGUAGAAAUACAAUUUCCGUGAGAGAGAUAAAUCUUAAGUUUUCUUAGCCAUUUCCUUUUUAUUUUUUGUGAUAUUGAAAUCCCUUGCCUCAUCGGAGGGUCAUUUUAGCAGUUGAUACUUCAGAGACUGAAGUGAGAAGCUUGAUUCUGUUAGGUCAAAAUUGUAAGUGUUAGUUUAUGUACUAUUUUUUUAUUUUGUUAAUUUCCAAAUUGACCUCUUAUGGCAAUAGGACCUACCUUUACCUUAAUGGUGAAUAACCAAGCUUUUGAAACUUUAAGUCACUAGAUAUAUAAUAAAUGAAAGCAUCUUUCAUAUUUAUUUCCCCUUUAUUAUCUCCUAUUUCACCUAUUUUUUCUAACGUUUCUUUUCUAUUAAUUCCCCCCAUAUAAAGAAUUAGUGAUUUAAUGAAGGAAUAAAAUGUUAACGUUUAAAGUGAAUGGGUAUUGAAAGUGUGGCAUGUGAGAGGAUUCAAAAAUUCAAAAAUUUGCUUGUUGUCUUUCCCCUAUCGUGCUUAGGUCUUUUCACAUCUCUGUCUUUUGGGUACGAUCCUCAGAGUACUCACUUACUCCGUUGUAAUAAUUACAACUUGACCCGUAUACUUGCGAAUACUGCCUUAUUUAUAUAUAUCUUUUGCUACAGUAUUUACACCCUGGAUGUUAGUACGUCCGGAAGCAAUCAAGUGGCCACACGAGCUGAUCUCGUUCACACUGCCAUUUGACCCCUGUUUACACUUUUUACACAAAACUUCGUAGAAGUUUCAAAUUAGUCCAAAAUUUAUCUUGAUUUGUUUUAAAUGUUCUGUAGGCUCGAUUUAAGGCCUAUUUUCAUAAAUAUACUAUGAAUGUUAACUAAUUACGAAUAAUUGAUAUUUAAAUUUAGUUUUGAAUAGUAAAAGUCUGUUAUUGAAUUGGUUAUCUAUCGUAA